rnacentral:rRNA from 1 species
AUUGAACGCUGGCGGCAUGCUUUACACAUGCAAGUCGAACGGUAACAGGCCGCAAGGUGCUGACGAGUGGCGAACGGGUGAGUAAUGCAGCGGAACGUGCCCAGUCGUGGGGGAUAACGCAGAGAAAGCUGUGCUAAUACCGCAUACGAUCUAUGGAUGAAAGCGGGGGACCGUAAGGGCUCCCGCGAUUGGAGCGGCCGAUGUCAGAUUAGGUAGUUGGUGGGGUAAAGGCCUACCAAGCCGACGAUCUGUAGCUGGUCUGAGAGGACGACCAGCCACACUGGGACUGAGACACGGCCCAGACUCCUACGGGAGGCAGCAGUGGGGAAUUUUGGACAAUGGGCGCAAGCCUGAUCCAGCAAUGCCGCGUGCAGGAAGAAGGCCUUCGGGUUGUAAACUGCUUUUGUACGGAACGAAACGGUCCGGGUUAAUACCCUGGGCUAAUGACGGUACCGUAAGAAUAAGCACCGGCUAACUACGUGCCAGCCGCCGCAGUAAAAC